rnacentral:rRNA from 1 species
GAACGGGUGAGUAACACGUGGGUGAUCUGCCCUGCACUUUGGGAUAAGCCUGGGAAACUGGGUCUAAUACCGAAUAUGACCAUGCGCCUCCUGGUGUGUGGUGGAAAGCUUUUGCGGUGUGGGAUGGGCCCGCGGCCUAUCAGCUUGUUGGUGGGGUAAUGGCCUACCAAGGCGACGACGGGUAGCCGGCCUGAGAGGGUGACCGGCCACACUGGGACUGAGAUACGGCCCAGACUCCUACGGGAGGCAGCAGUGGGGAAUAUUGCACAAUGGGCGCAAGCCUGAUGCAGCGACGCCGCGUGAGGGAUGACGGCCUUCGGGUUGUAAACCUCUUUCAGCACAGACGAAGCGCAAGUGACGGUAUGUGCAGAAGAAGGACCGGCCAACUACGUGCCAGCAGCCGCGGUAAUACGUAGGGUCCGAGCGUUGUCCGGAAUUACUGGGCGUAAAGAGCUCGUAGGUGGUUUGUCGCGUUGUUCGUGAAAACUCACAGCUUAACUGUGGGCGUGCGGGCGAUACGGGCAGACUUGAGUACUGCAGGGGAGACUGGAAUUCCUGGUGUAGCGGUGGAAUGCGCAGAUAUCAGGAGGAACACCGGUGGCGAAGGCGGGUCUCUGGGCAGUAACUGACGCUGAGGAGCGAAAGCGUGGGGAGCGAACAGGAUUAGAUACCCUGGUAGUCCACGCCGUANACGGUGGGUACUAGGUGUGNGUUUCCUUCCUUGGGAUCCGUGCCNNNGCUAACGCAUUAAGUACCCCGCCUGGNNNNNNCGGCCCGNNNNNNNAAAC